UACGUAGGGGGCAAGCGUUGUCCGGAAUCAUUGGGCGUAAAGAGCGUGUAGGCGGCUUGGCAAGUCUGACGUGAAAGCCCGCGGCUCAACCGCGGAUUGUCGUUGGAAACUGCCUCGCUAGAGUCCGGAAGAGGAGAGCGGAAUUCCUGGUGUAGCGGUGGAAUGCGCAGAUAUCAGGAAGAACACCCGUGGCGAAGGCGGCUCUCUGGGACGGUACUGACGCUGAGGAGCGAAAGCGUGGGGAGCGAACAGG
rnacentral:rRNA from 1 species